GCGGAUGUGGCGAAACCGGCAUACGCACAGGACUUAAAAUCCUGGGGGCCAAAAGCCCGUGUGGGUUCAAGUCCCACCAUCCGCA
rnacentral:tRNA from 1 species